AAAUACGCUGCUGAAAUUCGUGAUUCGGCUAAACAUGGUGCUAGAGUAUGGCUAGGCACUUUUGAAACAGCCGAAGAAGCUGCCAUAGCUUAUGAUAGAGCAGCCUUUAGAAUGCGUGGUGCUAAGGCACUCCUCAAUUUUCCGUCUGAAGUUGUCACAGCCUCUGCUUCAGUAGAUAGAUUACUACUACGUCCCCCAAGUUUGAGCUCAGAUAGUUACACUAAUUCCAACAAUUCAAAUUCUAGUUCAAAUGAAGUUUCAAGUGGGUUGAUUAAUACAUUUGAAUCAAGAAUUUCAACGGAAUUUUCUCAAGAUACUAAGACAGAGUAUAUGGAGAAUUUCUUGGCACUUUGAACCAAUUGCACGGUCGAUGUUAAGUUGUACUAGGAGUUAUAGUUUGUUCACACCUCGAGCAUAAUUUAGACGUGUUUGAUUGUCUCCGUAAUAUAUCUAUCUAGUUGUGUUUUACUUUCACAUUAUAUACUAGUCUUUCUUUUUAUUUUCUUCUUGAAUUGUUUACAACCAUCAUGCGCGCUUUAAUCAUGUAAUUCAUCUGUAAAAAGCUUGUAUCAGAUUUUAUUAGCGCUUCGUUUACAAAUUGUAAUUUGCACAUU
rnacentral:lncRNA from 1 species